rnacentral:rRNA from 1 species
UACAGAGGGUGCGAGCGUUAAUCGGAAUUACUGGGCGUAAAGCGUGCGUAGACGGCUAUCUAAGUCGGGUGUGAAAGCCCCGGGCUCAACCUGGGAAUUGCAUUCGAGACUGAAUAGCUAGGGUACGGUAGAGGGAAGUGGAAUUCCGGUGUAGCGGUGAAAUGCGUAGAUAUCGGAAGGAACAUCAGUGGCGAAAGCGACUUCCGUGGACCAGUA